rnacentral:rRNA from 1 species
UCCGCAGGGGGCCCUCCAAGCCCGCCGUGAAAUCCCGGGGCUCAACCCCGGGCGUGCGGCGGGGACUGGCGGGCUGGAGUGCGCGAUGGGCAGACGGAACACCAGGUGUAGCGGUGGAAUGCGUGGAUAUCUGGUGGAACACCGAUGGCGAAGGCGGUCUGCUGGCGCGUCACUGACCCUCAGGGACGAAAGCGUGGGUAGCAAAACA